CCUACGGGAGGCAGCAGUGGGGGAUUUUGCGCAAUGCGGGGAACCCUGAUGCAGCGACGCCGCGUGGGUGAAGAAGCGCCUCGGCUCGUAAAGCCCUGUCAGCAGGGAAGAAAAUGACGGUAACUGAAGAAGAAUCCCCUGCUAACUACGUUCCAGCAGCCGCGGUAAUACGUAGGGGGCAAGCGUUAUCCGGAUUGACUGGGUGUAAAGGGGGCGGAGGCGGCGUUGGAAGCCAGGAGUGAAGGCCCGGGGCCCAACCCCUGGACUGCUCGUGGAACUAGGUGACUGGAGUACAGGAGAGGAAGGCGGAAUUCCUGGUGUAGCGGUGAAAUGCGUAGAUAUCAGGAGGAACACCGGUGGCGAAGGCGGCCUGCUGGACUGAAACUGACGUUGAGGCCCGAAAGCGUGGGGAGCAAACAGGAUUAGAUACCCCAGUAGUC
rnacentral:rRNA from 1 species